rnacentral:rRNA from 1 species
UAGAUACCCUGGUAGUCCACGCCGUAAACGAUGAUCACUCGUUGUGUGCGAUAUACUGUACGUGACUGAGCGAAAGCAUUAAGUGAUCCACCUGGGGAGUACGUUCGCAAGAAUGAAACUCAAAGGAAUUGACGGGGGCCCGCACAAGCGGAGGAACAUGUGGUUUAAUUCGAUGAUACGCGAGGAACCUUACCUGGACUUAAAUGUAGCAUGACCGUACCAGAAAUGGUAUUUCUCUUCGGAGCAGGUUACAAGGUGCUGCAUGGCUGUCGUCAGCUCGUGCCGUGAGGUGUCGGGUUAAGUCCCAUAACGAGCGCAACCCCUAUCGUUAGUUGCUAACAGGUUAAGCUGAGGACUCUAGCGAGACUGCCACCGUAAGGUGAGAGGAAGGUGGGGAUGACGUCAAGUCAGCACGGCCCUUACGUCCAGGGCUACACACGUGUUACAAUGGUCAGUACAGAGGGCUGCUACCUAGUGAUAGGAUGCUAAUCUCGAAAGCUGAUCUCAGUUCGGAUCGAAGUCUGCAACUCGACUUCGUGAAGUUGGAUUCGCUAGUAAUCGCGUAUCAGCAACGACGCGGUGAAUACGUUCCCGGGCCUUGUACACACCGCCCGUCAAGCCAUGGAAGCUGGGGGUACCUGAAGUCCGUAACCGCAAGGAUCGGCCUAGGGUAAAACUGGUGACUGGGGCUAAGUCGUAACAAGGUA